CGAACGCUCUCCGCAUGCCUAAAGAUGCAAGUCGAACGCGUGUAGCAAUACACGAGUGGCGCAUUGGCCACUAACACGUGGGAACCUGCCCUGGAGUGGGGGAUAACCCGGCGAAAGCCGGGCUAAUACCGCAUACGACCUGAGGGUGAAAGAUUUAUCGCUCUAGGAGGGGCCCGCGUCGGAUUAGCUAGUUGGUGGGGUAACGGCCUACCAAGGCGAUGAUCCGUAGCUGGUCUGAGAGGAUGAUCAGCCACACUGGGACUGAGACACGGCCCAGACUCCUACGGGAGGCAGCAGUGGG
rnacentral:rRNA from 1 species